CACGUAGGGUGCGAGCGUUGUCCGGAAUUAUUGGGCGUAAAGAGCUCGUAGGCGGUGUGUCGCGUCGGCCGUGAAAACCUGCAGCUUAACUGUGGGCUUGCGGUCGAUACGGGCAUCACUGGAGUUCGGCAGGGGAGACUGGAAUUCCUGAUGUAGCGGUGAAAUGCGCAGAUAUCAGGAGGAACACCAGCGGCGAAGGCGCCGCUCUGGGCCGUAACUGACGCUGAGGAGCGAAAGCAUGGGUAGCAAACAGG
rnacentral:rRNA from 1 species